GGAAGGUUGUGGCUUCUUUGUCACAAGUUUCAGUCCUUAUUCUUCAGCUUCCUGGGUGUUAAGAAGCAGUAGUGACUGUGGCAGCUUCUUGAUCAAACUCAGAAAUCCCUAGAUCACAGAUUAAGGUGUCCACAUUCAGGCCAUGGCCUUGGUGCCAGGCCUAGCCUGGCUCCAGUGGCCUCAGACCCAGCAGCUUCCUUGGUAGACUGGCCCAGUAGAGUUGUUCACUCCAAGAUGUCCAGCCCAGAGCUGUUUCUCCAGGCCUUCCACCGAUUUGUUUCCCUGCCUCCUGCCUGGAACCUGGAAGACCCAGAGAAGGGUGGGGAGUAAAGAACAGACCAGCCUUCUCCGCACUGCAGUUUGUUGAGGCAUUGAUCUGGCCAAAGCUGGAUGUAUGGAGGCAGAAAGUGUUCAUUCAUUUUUUAAAUUUUUCAUUUCAGAAUUAUUGCUUGUCUGCUAUGGACCUAACACUGUUCUAAACAUUGGGGCUGGUAAUCCUCCAUUAUCUGUGGGAGAUACAUUCCAAGAUCCACAGUGGAUGCUUGAAACUGAGGAUAGUAUAAAACUCUAUGUAUACUAUGUUUUUUCCUACACAUACAUACAUACUAUGAUAAAGUUUCAUUUAUAAAUUAGGUACAGUAAGGGAUUAACAACAAUGAAUAAUAAUAAAAUAGAACAAUUAUAAAAAUAGACUGUAAUAAAAGGUGAAUAUGGUCUCUC
rnacentral:lncRNA from 1 species